rnacentral:lncRNA from 1 species
CCUUAAAUUUGGUGGGCUCACGACACUCGUAGCUCACUUUCUCACUUCCUGAAUCCCAGGCUGAAACCCUAGGGUGCUCAAAGAAGACCCUGCGCACACUCUCUUUCUUUCUUUCCUCUCGGAAUGUUUUAAACUUUUCAAAAAUAUGCAAAAACCUUCCUCAUGCCUUGUUUUCUUUUUUUGAUCAGAUUGUGUGCACGCCCCACCUUUCUCCUCUUUUUAAAACAACACAAGACGUGUCUUAUCCGCGUGAGAGAACAAAGAUAAGUGGUUGCACAUUUGAAUUCAAAUCGAAUUUGAAUUCAAAUGCAAACUAACUCAUC